rnacentral:sRNA from 1 species
UAAUUUUAUUAAAAACGACACACACACACCGGCACGUAGUUCUGGGUGCUCCGAUGAGAUCAACGCAGGUUGCUCUGAAGGGUUGGAUUAUGGGGUGUGUGGAGGUUUAAC